GUAGGGAAUCUUCCACAAUGGGCGCAAGCCUGAUGGAGCAACACCGCGUGAGUGAAGAAGGGUUUCGGCUCGUAAAGCUCUGUUGUUAAAGAAGAACACGUAUGAGAGUAACUGUUCAUGCGUUGACGGUAUUUAACCAGAAAGUCACGGCUAACUACGUGCCAGCAGCCGCGGUAAUACGUAGGUGGCAAGCGUUAUCCGGAUUUAUUGGGCGUAAAGAGAGUGCAGGCGGUUUUCUAAGUCUGAUGUGAAAGCCUUCGGCUUAACCGGAGAAGUGCAUCGGAAACUGGAUAACUUGAGUGCAGAAGAGGGUAGUGGAACUCCAUGUGUAGCGGUGGAAUGCGUAGAUAUAUGGAAGAACACCAGUGGAGAAGGCGGCUACCUGGUCUGCAACUGACGCUGAGACUCGAAAGCAUGGGUAGCGAACAGGAUUAGAUACCCUAGUAGUCC
rnacentral:rRNA from 1 species